rnacentral:ribozyme from 13 species
GGGAAUGAAAAAGAAGGAGGAGACACUCAAUUGUAAUCUUUGCAUGUACCAACUUCUUUCUCUCUGUUUCUCUCUCCUUCCCUCUCUCCUCUUCUUGUCUUUUUU